rnacentral:rRNA from 1 species
UACGGGGGGGGCAAGCGUUGUUCGGAAUUACUGGGCGUAAAGGGUUUGUAGGUGGCCAACUAAGUCAGACGUGAAAUCCCUCAGCUUAACUGGGGAACUGCGUCUGAUACUGGUUGGCUUGAGUGCAGGAGAGGAAUGCGGAAUUCCAGGUGUAGCGGUGAAAUGCGUAGAUAUCUGGAGGAACACCGGUGGCGAAGGCGGUUCUCUGGGCCUGUACUGACGCUGAGGAGCGAAAGCGUGGGGAGCGAACAGG